CAGUAGCCGCGGGAAUACGUAGGUCCCGAGCGUUGUCCGGAUUUGUUGGGCGUAAAGCGAGCGCAGGCGGUUAGAAAAGUCUGAAGUGAAAGGCAGCGGCUCAACCAUUGUAGGCUUUGGAAACUGUUUAACUUGAGUGCAGAAGGGGAGAGUGGAAUUCCAUGUGUAGCGGUGAAAUGCGUAGAUAUAUGGAGGGACACCGGUGGCGAAGGCGGCUUUUUGGCCUGUAACUGACACUGAGGCGCGAAAGCGUGGGGAGCAAACAGGAUUAGAGACCCGAGUAGUCCCUGUCUCUUAUACA
rnacentral:rRNA from 1 species